rnacentral:rRNA from 1 species
CAGCAGCCACGGUAAUACAGAGGGUGCAAGCGUUAAUCGGAUUUACUGGGCGUAAAGGGCGCGUAGGUGGUUAUUUAAGUGAGAUGUGAAAGCCCCGGGCUUAACCUGGGAACUGCAUCUUAUACUGGGUAACUGGAGUGCAGUAGAGGGUAGUGGAAUUUCCGGUGUAGCGGUGAAAUGCGUAGAUAUCGGAAGGAACACCAGUGGCGAAGGCGGCUACCUGGACUGAGACUGACACUGAGGCGCGAGAGCGUGGGGAGCAAACAGGAUUAGAUACCCCUGUAGUCCCUGUCUCUUAUAC